GCUGGAAGUCACUCAUGAUCCCUUUCAGAAGGAAUUGUCAGCACAAACAAUGCAGAUUACAAGAUGAGAAAAUCCAAAACAAAGCAUAUGCACAAACCUCCCAGUUCUGGAGGUUGGGGAGUCGAUCAAGAUGCCAGCAAAUACGGUGUGUGAGAGCCUACUUCCUGGUUUAUAGAUGGCCAUCUUUUCACUGUGUUCUUUCUGCAUGAUGGAAGAGGUAGCUACUAUCCAACUUAUCCAAGUUUAAGCCAUAAGAAAAUGCAUGGACUUCUGUACCUGAGAAGAAACUGGAAAGAAAAAAAAUAACACAGAAUCCAAGCACGAGCUGAAGAAACUGGAGCCCCAGGAACUGAAGGGACUUCAGACUGCAGCUAGGCCGUCGUGGACAAGCUGACUUCGAAUCAAAACUAAACCACACUAAACUAAAAUUACACAAAGCAUGAGAUUGAGAUAAGGGGAUGACAAGUAUCCAGCUGCAAUCUGCUAAAUAACAUGAUGAUAAAUAUGGGCUCUAUUGCUCCAAUAACAUUGCCGCAGACUUAUCAGAUCAGAAGGUUUUUUGGAUCCAUCUGAAUAAGAGGAGUACCUGAUAGACUUUUCACCUAUGGAAGGCUGACAGCAAGGAGAGAAAGCAGAAACUUCCUUUGGCUUUAUCAUAAUGCUGAUGAGGAGGAAGAGGGGAAGAAUCAAGAGUGCUUCAACCUUUGCAUGGAAAUCACAUAUGUAACAUGAAAGUAUUUCUCUGCUAACUAUUAUCUAUUAAUUUGGGGGAGAGUUAGGAGGACUAUAUGUUUUGAAUCCCCAAUAACUGCCAGGCAUAAUAGCAGGCAUUUUGCCUAACGAAAAAGAACUAACAUUUGCUAAAUGUCUCUAGAUACUAGAAACGAGGCUUCUUUCUGUAUAUAUAUUUCAUUGAAUCCACUAAUCCUCAGAAUGUGAAACCUUCUCUUUGGCAAGUGAAGAAAUAAUUUCCAAAGGUUUGCAGACAAAGCGAGUAAGUAGAAGAGGCAGGGAUUAAACAGGUCUGAACAAUCACCACAUUUUACUCUUUCAAAAAUACUAAGUUGGUACAACCAGGAAAGUAAAAAUCCUAUUAACAACUAGGGGAUCAUCGAUACAGCACUUCUUAGAGUUAUUAUAUUAUUAACAUUUUUUUCAAAUGCAGUUUGUA